AUACGUAGGGGGCGAGCGUUGUCCGGAAUUACUGGGCGUAAAGGGUGCGUAGGUGGCACUUUAAGUUGGAUGUGAAAUCCCCGUGCUUAACAUGGGAGCUGCAUCCAAUACUGGAGAGCUAGAGUGCAGGAGAGGUAAGCGGAAUUCCUAGUGUAGCGGUGAAAUGCGUAGAUAUUAGGAGGAACACCAGUGGCGAAGGCGGCUUUCUGGACUGAUACUGUCACUGAGGCAGGAAAGCGUGGGGAGCAAACAGGAUUAGAUCCCCUGGUAGUCCACGCCGUAAACGAUGAGUACUAGGUGUCGGCCCUAAGGGUCGGUGCCGCAGUUAACACAUUAAGUACUCCGCCUGGGAAGUACGCUCGCAAGAGUGAAACUCAAAGGAAUUGACGGGG
rnacentral:rRNA from 1 species